GAAAUGCGAUAAGUAAUGUGAAUUGCAGAAUUCAGUGAAUCAUCGAAUCUUUGAACGCACAUUGCGCCCGCCAGUAACCUGGCGGGCAUGCCUGUUCGAGCGUCAUUGCAACCCUCGGCCCCUGGCCGGCGUUGGGGCAUUACGGGUGUUGCCCGUAAGCCCUGAAAUGGAGUGGCGGGCUCGCUGGAGACCCUUUGCGUAGUGAAUUCUAUCGCACUGGACCCCGGCGGGUAUCUGGCCGUAAAACCCCCCCCAAUUUUUUUUGGUUGACCUCGGAUCAGGUAGGAAUACCCGCUGAACUUAAGC
rnacentral:misc_RNA from 1 species